GAGCUGCAAGGGGGCUCAACACUCAAGUGUGUGAGAGAUGAAGAGUCUGCAUGAGGACAUGGCUGCAACACUGCUGGCUGUAAUGCUUAUGAUCCCCUACAUCUGCGACGGAGCGCUGCUGAGAAAAUCAACAGCGAUGGACUUCCUUCAAAAAACAAGAGUGAAGCGUGAAUCUGAGUGUUUUCCUGGAGGCUGCAGCACAGAGGCCAGCGAGAGUGAACUGAUGGAAACAGAAGAUGUAGGAUAUGAGGAGAAUUCCAGCCUGCUGUAUAAUGGAGGUGCCGCUCAGGAAGGAAUAAACUAUCAGAGCCCUGGAGGGGGAGCUGUGGCGGAUGAAGGAUCUGGGAUGUAGCCAAGAGGAAGAGCGCAACACGGCUGUGUUGUUGUUGGGUCGAGGGAAGUUCAGCUUUCCCAAAAGCAUCCUGAUACAAAGGGCAACUUUGAUUGUAUAUCAGUCAGAAACAUCAUAACUAGCUAUACACUAUAAAUAUAAAAUAUAAAGUUUAAUCACUUACUCAAACCUUUGAACAAAAGGUUUAUAAAAUGAACAUGAUUUGUUUCAAGGAUUAAUUUGCAUGCUUAAUUUACUUUUGUUUAAGUUAAAAUAAUGGUGAUAAGAACAUUUUUUAUUUGUUACCUCCAGUUGUUACUGUUUUAGUACGAUACUGUUACUUGUUACAGCUCAGUAUGUGUCUUGAGUGAGCUGAGUUGGAAAUACAAAAAAGUAGGUAUCCAGUAUGUUAGAAAUUUGAAUUGAGAAUAUUGUGUAAACACUGUUUCAAUAAACAUACAAUAUCAUAGUUUGGUAGAGUAUUAUAACUAACAUUUAAAUGUAUUUGACCAACCAUGAAGCUUAUGUGCAUGUUAAGUGCAAAUGUACCUUUCUCAGCAGGAAGCUUUAUAUGAACAUUUUAAUAAAUUAAAUGUAUAUUAUAUGCAUGUUUGCUUUUAUUAUUAUUAUUUUUAUUAAAGGUUGUAACAUGAAGGGCCUUAAUAACUUGCUAAUGUUGUCACAGGGUGUACACAAUUAAUCAAUUAGCUCUUGGGAGUUUAGGAUUUUUUCGACAAACUUGUGUGUAGUCCUCUCUUCUGCAAUUUGGACCUGUUGGUCUUCUAUGCUUUCUUAUAGUUUGUUGUGUUGGUAUUCUUUUUUAUUUUACUGGUUAAAACAAUCCAGGGGAUUAGAAUUUACCUCCUGAUUAAUCCCCUUAACUAUUCACACUCUGCCAGGAAAAAUGGCACAGCUCGUGUGCUGACCUGUAGCCUGUAGCAUUUAAUUAACAUUUGUGAACUCUGGAUUUUCUCGGAAACAAUAAAUAUCAUUGUCUCUGUGUAGUUUCUAUUUAUAAAGCAGAGGAAUGCACACACUCAAGAAAAGAU
rnacentral:lncRNA from 1 species